UACGUAGGGGGCAAGCGUUGUCCGGAUUUAUUGGGCGUAAAGAGCGUGUAGGCGGCUUGACAGGUCUGCUGUGAAAACUCGAGGCUCAACCUCGAGAUGUCGGCGGAAACCGUCUGGCUAGAGUCCGGAAGAGGCGAGUGGAAUUCCCGGUGUAGCGGUGAAAUGCGUAGAGAUCAGGAAGAACACCGGUGGCGAAGGCGCUCUGCUAGGCCGUAACUGACACUGAGGGACGAAAGCUAGGGGAGCGAAUGGG
rnacentral:rRNA from 1 species